rnacentral:lncRNA from 1 species
GGGGCCCAGAUGCUUGAUCGAAAGAAAAAUAAAAAGAUCCGAGCACGUAUGGUCAAAAUCUAUCUUGUCUUUACCACGAGUCAUUUUCCUUGAGGGGGCGGAGCGUAUACGAAAUGAAGCAGCAGCUAGCACGCUAAGAUCAACCACUUGGAGAAGGUGAAGCCUUUUAAGUGUGGGUGGUGAAGAAAAAUGGUAAGGAUUCUUAAUUUUCCAAUGGACAUGAUCUUCUUGUUCAGCCAAAUUAAUAUUGCGCUCAUAGUGCUUAUGUGCAAUAUGGGACCGAUAUCAUCAAGAGCACAGCCACAGAACAUGACUCUUCCACAUGAUGAGGGUAGGCUGCUGCUGCGGCUGCUGCUUUCUAAAUGUAGUUUUUGUUUUUUUUUAAAAAAUAAAUAAAUUAGAAGGAACAUUUGAUGGGAUUUUUGCUUUAUGCGGGUGUAAUGGCAGUUGAAGCUCUUCGUGAAAUAGCUGCACAACUGCAUAAAAAGGACUGGAAUUUCAGCGACCCGUGUAGCAAUGUUCCAACUUUCUCAACCCCACAUACAGAUCAGUACAACAACACUCUCUUCUGCAAUUGCUCCUUCCCUGGCAAUGUGUGCCAUGUCCAAAGCAUGUAUGCAUAUAUUUUUGCCAUUUGUAUGCUUUAAAUUCUUGCAGCACCGGUUCAUUCAUAAAUUCAUUUUCCUAAUUAAAUAUGAUGGUUGCUGGUUACUGUUUGGAGUGAUUAGUCAAGAAUCAACCUUUGAUUUUUUGGAUCCUUGUUGUGCAGUUUUCUUAUGGGGCAGGAACUGGAUGGUGUGCUUCCACCAGCACUGGUGAAGCUACCUUACAUUAAGCAACUGUAUGAAGAGCAGAGAUUUUCAAUAACUGCUUUAGCUUUUACCAUCUCAAAUCUAUUGGUUUUUAUCCUAAUUAAUAGGACUCUUUCUUCUUUGCUCAUAGUAAUCUGGACCAGAAUUACCUUAGUGGUCCGAUACCAAGCAAAUGGACUUCUACGAAGUUGGAAUUUCUGUAAGUGGCAUCUACACUCAUGUUUGAGGUUGUCAAUUAGUAGUUUUCGUGCCAAUGAUUGAACUAAUGGAAUGUACAUAGUGCAGGGCUCUCAGCGUGAACAAAUUAUCAGGACCAAUCCCUAGCUAUUUGGGAAACAUAGUUACUCUCCAAGCUUUGUAUGCUUUCGAUCUUUCUCACUUGUUGUUUAUCUCAUUUACAUUUACUUUUGUACCAAUUGGUUUGGUUGUGAACUUGAAGUGACUAUCUUUCAGGGGCUUGGAAAGCAACUUAUUUUCUGGAACCAUUCCUCCGGAGCUGGGGAAGUUGAUUAACAUGGAGAGUCUGUCAGUGGGAUUUUUCUUUUUCCAAUGUUCAUAGUUUGACAUUCUUUGAUUUUCAUAACCAAGUUGAACAUAACUAGUGACAAGGUUUGACAUGCCAUGACUAAUUAACUACAGCUAUCUUCGCGCUAAUAAUCUCACUGGAGAGUUGCCUGUGUCUCUCACUAAUAUGACGAAAUUAAAAAAACUGUAAGUGAUUUUUACUGUAUUUUACCUAAUUAAGAUGUUUCGAGUUCAGGUUCAUGACAUUCCUUUUUCUUUUCUUUUUUUUCUUUUGGGUGGGGUGGUUCAAAAUAUUCUGCAGUUGGAUUGGCAGUAACAACUUCACUGGGAAAAUACCGAACUAUUUUCUUAGUUGGAAAGAGCUUGAGAUGUUGUAAGAGAUCUUUUCUAGCAUGCAUCUUAUAUCUCUGUCAUCUUCAAGUAUCUUCAGUUAAAAUAUAAAUCCUUUUCAAAUGUGUUGCUUACAGAGAGAUGCAAGGGAGUGGUCUUGAAGGGCCCAUACCUCCUAGCCUUUCUGCAUUAACUAAACUGUCAUACCUGUGAGUCUUGGCUUCUAAGUUCUCAAUUAUUUUAAGUUUCAGAUUUUUUGCAUUCUCUUUUGAGAUAUCAUUGCUGAAGAGACUUGUAUUCCUAAUAGUUAUUUGAAGUGAUCUUUUGCAGAUCGAUUAGUGACUUAAGCGGUGAGAGUUCAGAUUUUCCUAACUUGUCAAAUAUGAAAGACAUGCAGACUUUGUGAGCCAUCUUUAUGGUUUUAGACUUUUAGUAUCCUUUCUGAUUAGAAUAACCUACAAGUAUAUAACAUUUAUUUUCUUAUAUGGGUUGCUUCAUAUUGCAGGAUGUUAAGGAGCUGCAAUAUAAGAGGAACAAUCCCUGAAUAUAUCUCUAAUAUGACAAGUCUGGAACUUUUGUAAUACUUCUGUUUAUUCAUUCUCUGUACUUUUGCUUGAGCUUACAUAUAUGUGAAAAGCUCAAAAGUGCUAAAAUUGUUGAAUGAUUGUAGAUCCAAAUGUAAAAUUUGGGAAAGCCUUACUACUAUUACAAUUUAAUUACUAUGUGGUGGAAAACAAAAUUUGGCCUCAGUAUUUAUCAUUUGCUUUUUCAAUUUACUGAAGUGUCAUUUGAUUAAAAAAAAAAAAUUCUGUACUGUAUUCCCAGCAUCACGAGUACAUAACUUCGGAUUACCCCCAAACCUAUUUCUUUUGCAGGGAUCUUAGCUUCAACAGAUUGAAAGGGAACAUUCCAAAUCUUGUGGAUACACGGAGAUUGGCCACAAUGUAAGUCAAAUUUAUAUGGGUAGCUAUAUAGCUCACAUAAUGUGUAACCUUAAGAAACAUUGAUACAAAUAAUUUUUUAUUCACAUGUAAACAUAUUGCUCAAUGAUCAGAUAUCUGACAAGUAACUUGCUUACUGGGCUUCCGGAGUGGAUCAAAUAUAGAGAUAGUCGCUAGUAUGUUUCUUCCUCCUAAAUCUUACUUAUUUAUGGUUAGAUUUCUGUUUAUAUCCAUCAUUUACUCAGAUUACUCAGAUUGUAUGUAUACCACUAGCACGCAUGUAGUGUGCAUACCUACAAGUUUAUUGCAACCUUUCCUCAUUAAUUUGUGUCUGUGCUUCUGAGGCUUCAACAGAUAAAUGUCUAUGAUUAAGAAUAUAGUGACUUGGUAGACAGAUUACAACGCUACACGAAAGAUAAGGCGAAUUACACAAUGGAUAAGGUUAUGUAUACAAGUACUUUUUGGCUGAAGGUUCGUGAUUAUAAGAAGGCUGGGGUAUUGUAUUGAUGAUGAGUGGUUAAGUCCAAAAUUUUCUAUCUUGCUGGUGUCUUUGAAAUGUUGAAUAAUUUCCUCUCUGUUCUGCGCAAAUUCAGUCACUCAUGUAACAUCCCACAUCGACCAAUGGAGAGGGGGUGAUGUGCCUUAUAUGUACAUGCCCGCCUCCAUCUAGCACGAGGCCUUUUGAGAGCUCACUGGCUUCGGAGCCAUGGGAACUCAGAAGUUAAUUCAUGUUACAAAUUUUACCAAAAUAGUCUGAUAUUCUUUUUUCUUGGAAUCUCUGUUAAUAGAGAACUUUAAAUUUGCAUGCAGCAUAAUAGAUCUUUCCUACAAUAACUUUUCAGAGAACUCUGUCCCAACUACAUGUCGAGACAACUUGUAAGAUUAAAUCUUUUUUUCUUCUAUAUCUUCUUCUUUUCAUUUACUUUGCUUGAGAUUUUCAUAUUUUGCGCUCUUUGGCUAUCUAAAUAUUUGAAAGUAACUAGGUUGUUGUUUUCAUCAGUAAUGUGUUCAAAAGUUUUUCCAGGCAGAACAACUCGUAAGCUUCAAACUCAAUGAGUUCCACAGGGAGUUUAUUCAUUUUUCCUCAUUCAUUGUUCGUAUGCUAAUUAUGCUUUUUUUGUAUAUAUAUCAAUGUAGGAUUCUUAGCCAUUGCCUCAAUCCAUGUUCAAAAGGUAACUAAAUCUGUCGUAGAAUAUCUCAAGUGUAUGUUUCUGUUUUCACAUACAAUGUUGUUUUGAGUCCAUUUGUCAUCUACCUUUUGUAUGCUGUUUUUUCUCUAUAGAGCAGUAUUCGGUGCAUAUAAAUUGUGGUGGAAAACAAGCCACCAUUGGAAGCAUCAAAUAUGAUGGUGAUGAAGCUUCAGGAGGUGGAGCAAAGUUUUUUUAUGACACAGGGAACUGGGGAUUUAGUAGCACUGGUGAUUUUGGGCUUAAGAAUUAUGACCAAGAGUAUAUAGCAAGAAAUAGCUCCAUACUCAAUAUGACAAACUCUGAAUUGUACAGUACAGCCCGAAUAUCUCCUCUUUCUCUCACAUAUUAUGCCCGUUGCUUAGCAAAUGGAAAUUACACUGUGAAACUACACUUUGCUGAAAUAGUUUUCAGAAACAACAGGUCUUAUUACGGCGUUGGAAGACGAAUUUUUGAUGUUUAUAUCCAGGUAGUCAUCCUUUUAUGUUCACCAUAAAUGAGAUGAAGCAUAAAUAACAAUUCUCCAUGUUACUUAAUUUUUAUUUUUUAAGCAUUUGGAUAAACUGAACUAUUCUCCAUAUUUUCUCUAAAAUCUCAACCACCUAUCAACAUAGGCUUCCUUCCUCCAAUGUUCUUAACAAUUUUCUUAAUCACUCCCUUUCGCUCUUAGUUUUUAACUUGAAUGAUUAAGCAUAGUAAUUAUUACAGGAAAAACUGGUAUUGAAGGAUUUUAAUAUUCAAAAAGAAGCACAAGGAGUUGAUAAGGAAGUGAUAAAGGUAUUUAAAGCAGUUGUCAAUGUUAUGACUUUAGAGAUCCGCUUUCAUUGGGCUGGGAAAGGGACAACUAAUGCUCCGAAAAGAGGAAUAUAUGGUUCUCUUAUAUCUGCUAUCUCGGUGGAGUCUGGUAGGUAAUUUAAGUAGUAAGUUUUCUCUUUAUUUUGACUGCCAUCUUGUUCAUCACUGUCCUUGGCUCUGCUUUCACUUCUAGAUUUCAAACCGCCUGAUGAUAGCAAAAAGAAGAUAUUCAUUGUGGUUGGAGCUGUUUCAGUGUUGUGUCUUAUUUUCAUGACUAUUGGCAUUCUUUGGUUGAGAUGCUGCUUCGGAGGCAGAGCAUCUACUAGGGAACAAGGUACUAUGAAUACCGUGCAAAAAAGGAAAUAAGACUUAGCAAUUUAUGUCAUGUCAUGUCCAUAUGGAAAUCUGCAAGAAUAAAUGUUUCUUGUAGUUGCUUGAUUUUUCAGUGUUAUUCUUUUCCAAUGUUGUCUGAUAAGCCAAAAGGCCCUCAAAUUCUCAGUGAAAAUCAGUUCAAUAUGCUAACCUCUUGUCACAUGAACAGAUCUGAGAGGAUUAGAUCUGCAAACUGGUUUCUUUAGAUUCAAACAAAUCAAAGCUGCCACUAACAACUUUGAUGCUGCAAACAAGCUUGGGGAAGGUGGCUUUGGAGCUGUUUACAAGGUAUUCUACCACUCCUUUUUGUUUCCCUAUGUAAGAACUUUUCUUUUGUUUUUGUUUUUGUUUUUAAUGCUUUGAUCUCUCACCCUUAUAGAGUAUUAUGGAUGACCUACAUUCCUCAAAAGUAUUAUAUUUCAAAUUGCAGGGCGAAUUAUUAGAUGGCACUAUUAUUGCAGUUAAGCAACUUUCUUCAAAAUCAAAGCAAGGAAAUCGCGAAUUUGUGAAUGAAAUAGGCAUGAUUUCUGCUUUACAACAUCCAAAUCUUGUGAAAUUGUAUGGAUGUUGCAUUGAAGGAAAUCAAUUAUUGUUGGUAUACGAAUACAUGGCCAACAAUAGCCUUAUACUUUGUUUGGUAAGCUGGACAAUCUAGAAGUGGAAUAUACACUUGUAUUAUAAAUAGUUUUUCAUGAGUCUCCUUAGUGUUUUUUGUUAAAUUCAGGUCCAGAGGAAGGCCUAAAGAAAUUGGACUGGCGUACAAGGCAGAAAAUAUGUGUUGGCAUUGCAAGAGGUCUGGCUUAUCUGCAUGAGGAGUCAGCACUGAAAAUUGUUCAUAGAGACAUCAAAACAACCAAUAUAUUGCUUGACGAGGACCUUAACCCUAAGAUAUCUGACUUUGGUUUGGCUAAGCUGGACGAAGAGGAGAAGACCCAUAUCAGCACCAGAGUUGCUGGCACUAUGUGAGCAGCCCUUCUUUUUUUUUUUUUUUCUCUCUCUUUCAUUCAUUGUGGUUUCUGUUUUGUUCUUUUGCUUCUCUUAGUUUCUCUCAUCAAACGAUGAAGUUUUGAAACAGAUGACAGAGCUCUUAGUUUAGAUAACAUGAAUGCUUUGAAGGAGAAACUCAUGGAGUAGUUGUUACUGUGCAGAGGAUACAUGGCGCCGGAGUAUGCAUUGUGGGGUUAUUUAACUGAUAAAGCAGAUGUUUACAGUUUUGGCGUUGUUGCAUUGGAACUCCUAUCUGGGAAAAACAACAUCAAAUAUCGGCCGAAUGAGAAUUUUGUAUGCCUUUUGGAUUGGGUAAGAUCUUCAUCACAUUCGUUUAGCAUGCAGAAGUACAAGUGGAAACAGGUUGCUUUUCUUAUUGAAAUAUUUUCAUAUCGUACUCUCUCCAUUUGUUGUCAAUGCUGCAGGCCCUUGUUUUGCAACAAAAAGGAAAUUUGAUGGAGCUGGUGGAUCCAAAGUUGGGGUCUCAGUUCAAAAAGGAAGAGGCAAUGAGAAUGAUUAAGGUAGCUCUACUAUGCGCCAAUCCAUCACCGGCACUAAGACCUACAAUGUCUGCGGUUGUGAGCAUGCUUGAAGGGCAAACUAUUGUUCAUGAGGUGAAGAUAAACCCGAGUAUUUAUGGUGAUGAAUUGGGGUUGAAGGCCUUCACAGAGGACUCUGAUAUUGAUCACAGCUCCUAUGAUGAGACUCGAAGCCUCAUUUAUUCAUCCAAUGAAAAAUUUGCAGCCUCUACCUCAUCGUCUGUUUAGGAUGUCUACGCAGUUAGUCUUGAUUCUCAAUAUUUCUGAGUGCCUUGCCUCACAAAGCAGCUACUGGUACCAAAAUCAAAAUGUGUGACUUUACUAAACAACAAUUGCAAGAAAAUCUAGGACAAUAGAGACUGUAUAAAGUUACAUUAUCUGAUUCAAUGGAAAUCAUUCAGGCAAAUCUCUUUCUUCCCUAUUUUACAGCUUUCAAAUGAGCUAGAUUAACAUUUGUUGCAGUAUGGAGGACUAAAGAAUGUUGCAGAUAUGAAGAAGCAGCCCUUCUAUAUGUUUCUUCAUUAUACUUACCUUCUACAUUCACUUGUUCUUGGAGCUUUACUGUAUGCCGUGGGUGGACUUCCACUGUUUAUUUGGGGAAUGGUACGUAAGAAUAAUAUGGCUGGCUUUUCCCUAUCCAUGCUUUCUUUUUUAAAGAAGUGCCCUUAUAUUUUUCAUCCACGUCCCUUCACUAAAACCAUGGAUGUUGGCAGCCAUUCAUCCUAGUCUGCCAAUCACUCGUCAUCUAUCCUUAAUAUUUCUCAAUUAUUGGCUAAUGUGCUGCAUUCUAGAUCUAGGGAGAUAUCUCUAAUUGGAGAUAUAGAAUAUAGUUAGAUGGUAAUCUUAUGUUGCAAAACCUAUGAAUUUGGAUCAUUGAUCAUAUUUCUUAAAUGUGUUGUCCACUCCAGAUUAAGUCCGGCGACAUAAACAUAUUUUUGACACCAUAAGUUUGACAAUUACCCCAUAUAAGACAUCCUUCAUAUAUGAUGAAUUAUGACUGAUGACUACUACACGCAGUUUAAAUUUUCAUUUACCACAUGUACACACAUGCUCUUGUUGUAACUACGUAUAUAGCAUGCAUCUAGCAAAGCUAUAAACAGACAGAUCAUGGCAUUUCCCUUUCAUAGAAAAUCCUGAAGUUUGAAUUAUAUACCUUGUGGUGAUCCAUUUAAUGUAGGGCGUGAGGGUGGUGUGUGGUUUCCACUGCACCUUGUUAGUAAAUUCUGCUGGCCACAUAUGGGGAAAGCAUGGAUGGAAUCCAGGAACAAUUGGUAUUCUAGCUAUCCUCGCUCUAGCUAGCUCUAACAUAUAGUAAAUGUUAUAGAUGCAUUUAAUUUCAAUUGUAUAACUUGAAUUAGGUGGUUGGCAUUUCUUGCACUUGGAGAAGGUUGGCACAAUAAUCACCAUGCUUUUGAGUACUAGGCUCGGCAAGGUCUGAAAUGGUGGCAAAUUGACUUUACUUGGUACGUGAUAAGAUUGCUUGAGGCUAUUGGACUAGCAACAGAUGUGAAAAUGCCAACCGAUCUUCAUAAGCAACGGAAAGCUUAAAUACUAGACUAGUCAUGGAUAGUCAAAAUUAGGCUUUAUUUAAACACUGAUCUGUUUACUAUAUGAUGAUGGAUAUAUAGUUCCAAAUCCCACACACGCUUUUGAGAAUUGUGGUUAAUAUUCUGUGUACAUGGUGUAUGAACCGAAGGAAAAAAAAAAAAGUAUUCGUCUACUUAUUUAAUCACAAAAUCUAAAAUAAAUUAACCACAAUUCGAUAUUUUUUUUCAUUGUGGCCCUGACGAGAAUCUGAUUUUGGCGCCUUCCUCUGUUCAGUUGGUUAUAAAAAUAAAAAACUGUUAUAAAACUGGAGAGAAAUUGAUGAGAGAAAAGAGAUUGAGGAAACAGAGGAAAAACCUCUGCAAUUGAUUCAUUAUUUCCGUCUGUCUUUCUAACAUUUAAUAGGAAAAACUUUCUUCCAACAUGUGGGCCCCCUUCCAACAUGUGGGCUCCACACUUGAUUAUUUACAACACUCCCCCUUGGAGACCACAACUGAUACGGAAUAUGUCUCGUUAAAAACCUUGCCAGUAAAAACCCAGUGGGACAAAAACUGGUCGAAGGAAAAAAGAGUACAUAACCAUGCGUAAAAUAAAAUUCUGUGUAUAUGGACAUGCGUGCGACACUGCCUCGUUAAAACCUUGCCAGGAAAAACCCAGUGGGAUAAAAACCUGGACGAAGGAAAAAGAGUACAGUGUGGAAAGGUCUGUAUUGAUGGCACGCUCCCCCUGAUGCUUGGCAGAAUAUCUUGAAGCCAUACUGUUGAUCAUCUGUCUGAAUAUCAUAGUUGACACUGCUUCUGUGAGUCAAUCUUUGAGCGACACUGCCUCGUUAAAACCUUAUCAGGAAAAACCCAGUGGGAUAAAAACCUGAUGAAGGAAAAAGAGUACAGUGUAUGAAAGUCUUUAUGAAUACCAUGCUCCCCCUGAUGAAUAUCUCCCCCUGAAAACUUCAUGACUAACUGUUUCCAGUAAGCGACCAUAGAGAUUUCCAGAGUCCGCAUAUCUAAUAACACUUGGGCUAUUUAUAAUUUCACUCAAAAAAUAUGCCCGUAUAUGGUGUUAUGCUUAGAUAGCAUCAAAUAUGCCUCACAUCAUCCAAAAUGAUGGAGUUGAGCUCUAUCUGGAAAAUACGAUGUCCGGUCCAAUAUACUUCCGGAAAAUCCUUCAAGUGUCCAACGGAUAAUCCUCAUAAAAAUGCUUCAAUACUUUCUUAGUAUAAGCAAUAAUCUCGUUGGCAUAAUGCUCGAUCUUUCAGUCGAGACAAAUAUUUCUGGAACUCUUGAGAAGUUUUAAUGUGUUUGCAAACAUAUUAAUGUACUCACUGAGGCAAUUUAUGCAUAUUAGUAUUGAGUACGGAUUUUGUGCUUCAGGCACAUGUCAUUCAGGGACUUGCUUCAUGCAAUUUCAAUCCUUUCAAGGAUUUUGUUUAAAGGGAUUAAACUUUAUGACACAUUAUAUAGCUUUAACCCAGCUAUUUAUACAUCUUUAGGGAAUCACUUCAGGUGAUAUGCUUUGUGCAUUUAAUAACCCUUAAAGAUAACAUGUUGGUCUCCGUAAAUGUGCAAUAAGGGGGGGCACAAUUGAAUCUGUAGAUAUGGAGAAAACCCAACAUUCCUUGUUUAUGCCAGAAACAUUGUGUCAUACAAAGUAGGUAUAUUCCCUUUUAUUCCGAACACCCAAGUAUAACUUUCAGUAUUAACAAUUUUGGGGUUCGUACUGUGGGUUUAUUCUUUCACGUUCAUUCUCAUCUAUAAUGGAAUUGCCUCAUUUCAUUUUGGCCAAUGAUAUUGUCGACAUUUAAUAAUUGAACGUGGUUCCAAUCAACACAGCCCAUUGAUGAUUUGAGUAGCUACUCCAAAAUCAAAAUUUGUCAUUCAUCAAUUCAUGAUCCCACCAUUCUCAUGUGCAUGCGCAUACAUCAAUUAUAAGCAUUUCUUUGCUUUUGGGUACCCAAGCCACUGUAUGGGGCUUUUAUUAUGUGAGAAUGUGGAUUAUAACCUCCAAUGGAGCGUUAUUUUAUAGUAGGGCGUGGAUAAUCUCCAUUUAGGGAGUUGGAACAUUUAGAACCCAUAUAUCUGUCAUGCUGCAGGCAUGCUACAGAUUAAUAUAUAUACAUGUCAAUUAAUUUCUGGGACUUUAACCCAUACAAUUUGCAACGCAUUAGGCGUGCACAAUAUCAAUAUUGACAUGUCAAAGGAUUGUCCUUUCGGGACUUCAAUCCACAUCAUUUGCUACGCAACAGGCGUGCAUCAUAUUGAUCACUGCUAUACCCAUAUUCUGUUCUUAUGGGACUUUAAUCUGUGCAGUGUAUUAUCAAUGUAUCCAACUUACAAUUUGUAAAAUUUGCAUUAAUAAUUCAUGGAUACAUACAAGCCAUUCUUUUGGAACGGACUUAUCUCCCCAUUUGGUUACCUUUCAAGAUAAUAUAUCAAAUAAGUAUAUAAGCAUAAAAUAACACAAGUAUUGCUUACAUCCUUAGGUGGGAGAAACUUUUCUCAAGUAUCAUUCAAGCUCGUAUCGGCCCAGUAAAUGUAGUGCUUGAUGAUCUAGUUAUAUCCUGCAAAAGCAAAAAUCACAAUUCUUCUCCCUUAUGAACAGAGAGUUAUAAAAGAAAGAAAAGAUACAAAUAUUGUGAUAUUGAUUGCAAGGUAAGGUAAGCAAUCAGGGAAGGAAGCUGGUGGGAGCAGACAAGCAGCUCAUCAAUCAAGGAAGGAAGCUGGUGGGAGCAGAAAACAAGCUCUCAAUUCACCUAGUCUAGAAGGACCUCAGGAGAUUAGAGCACAAGGCCGCCUUCACAAUUCCCUGAUCUUGCAGAAACAUGAUCAGGGAUAGUCUUGCUUCCUGAAUGGAUGAUCAGAGAUAGUCUUGCUUCUCAGGCAUAUUAAGUGCUUAAUGAUAAGAAAAACAAGUAGAUAUAGCAUCAUUUUGUAUGGGAAAACUGGAUGUCUUCUACAAAGAAAAUUUCGUUAGUAACACAUUUAUACACAAAUACAAUGAAUAGGUAGAACGGUGAAUUUCAAAUUAACCAUAGGAAAAUUGCGAGAUUCUCGGGAUACUUUUGAAAAAGUAGCUCCGUGAAAUCCGUAAAGCAAGAUCGGCUUUGAAAAUAAUACUUGAAAACGCCGAAAGUGCCGACAGGCAUUAUCAGAGGCCACCUGAAGUUUUGGACUCUUGCGAAAGAAAAAGAUAAUGUGGGGAUUCGAGAAGAUAUUGGAAUCCUGAAAAGUUGCCACAUUUUCGUCUAUAGAUAUUGCCUUCGCAAAACUUAAUUGAGCAACUGCGUUUCAACUCAACUUCCUUCAGAGGCUUCCAGAACAUAAUGUAAUUUUAUAGAUUUUACAGGGCCUGCACCUUCAUUGCAGGUGGAAAAAUCUAUCUGUUGUAUGUUCAUUUGCUGUUAUAAUAAUUGCACAUGUUCUUAAACUUGCAUCUGGUUUUUACGUCUUUUCAAAAUGACGGUUUGGAACCUUGUGCCUUAUAGGAUCAAAUAACCACAUCAAAUCUCUCAUAUUUCCAUGCAUGUGAGCCCAGAAUUUUUGGUCUGGGUUAAACCCAAACUCAUAAUUUAUUCGCCAUUUUCAAAUGGACAUGAAAUAUGAAUUGAGUAAAAGCCACGAUAAUAUCUCAAUAUAGUAGUGAGGAACAUUAACUACUAUAUACCCACAACUUCAAGUUUUAGGAUCUCUCAUAUAUUUGGAUCCAUGGGCUUCCGGCCCAGAUAUAACAAAAUAUGUGGGGAGCCUCAAUUCAUCAUUUGAAGUUUAUACUGAUAUUAUCCAUUUCACGGUGUAUUCUUAACAACCGGAAUUCACAAAAUAUAUUUCUUCCUUGAGGUGUCGAUUAUAACAAAAUCGAACUUUAUUAAAUUCAUCAUUCUCUUAUGCCAAGAAAAUUUGUGGUGUACCACAAUUUGCAAUAAUACCUCAAAGGUUGUCCAUUUAAUUGUUGGAACUUCAGGUUCUCAAAACUUUUAAAUUUUGAACUUCAUGCCAAAAUCACAUAUUCUCAUAGUAUGGACAUUCUUACAAUUUUCUGUACAUAUUUCGGGACUUCAGGCCCUUACAUAAUUGUCCAUAUUUUGAGGAACUUCUGGCAUCUCAUUUAAUUGCUCAUCCAUGAGUGUAAGGAACUGCAGGUUCCCUUUUGUAUAUAGUGACGGUUUACCCAAAAUGGUUAAUAUUUAUGCAUACGUCACUAUUCAUGUGAAUAGUACUAUUCAUCAAUUCAUGAAUACAUAUCUAUUCAUAUGUACAGUACAUUUGCCAGUACAGUUCUUAUCCAUAUGUACGGCACUAUGAACCAAUACGGCACUAUUACAUCAUUAAGGAACCCCAGGUCCUUAUUCACAUGUCAGGGAUCAAGGACCCUUAAGUCCGAUCACAUGUUUACAAAUAUAGUACCGGAGAGACUGCCAGCUCUCAUAUCAAUAUCAUCAUCAAGGAUCUUCAAGUCCUGAUGUAAAUGUAUGAUGAGGAUCAAGGAACUUCUGGUCCUGAUCUGUAUACUGUAAAAACUCAUCAUACAACACAAUUAAUCCAUAAAAUAAAUUUACUGUUAAAUAAAUUACUUGUAUGGACGUUAAUCCCGCACCAUACUUUAAAUGUGCGGUAAAGUAAAUUCAUAAAUUAAAUUGAUGUAUGGACGCACCAUACUUUAAAUGCGGUAAAGUAAACGUGCUUGUAUGGGCACUAAUUCUGCUCCAUACAUUUAAAUGACAGUAAAAGCGUGGACGAUAAACCCGCACCACCCUUUAAAGUAAAUUUACGAUAAAAUAAAUGUGCUUGUAUGGGCACUAAUUCUGCUCCAUACAUUUAAAUGACAGUAAAGCAGUAAAGGCGUGGACGAUAAACCCGCACCACCCUUUAAAGUAAAUUUACGAUAAAGUAAAUGUGCUUGUAUGGGUAAUAAACCUACACCAUACAAUAAAUAAAAUAAUUGCGGAAUGAAUAAAGUAAAGACAAUUAUUUGUGGGUUCAUAUCAACACCACAAUCAAAUAAUAUAGUAGAUAAUAUUAUUAUCGUUUGUAGAAGGCAUCAUAAUUGUCUUUUUGAAAUCAAAUGCUUUCCACCUGUAAUUUGUACACCUGCACUUAUAUUAAUAGUAUAGAUUAAUAAUAAAAUAAUUGACAAAGGAGCUUACCCUUUCGGUGUUGUUUCUCAUCAAAAGAUUCCUUAGCACUUUCCGUCAGUGGCUAAGAAAAUUUUGUGGACGAGAACAAGGGUGCUGUGCCAAAAAUUUCAGCACCAAAAGCUAUGCUUUCUCUUCUAUGAUUUUGGAAUGGGUCCCAUUCCUUCAUCACUAAAGCCACCAACGUUGGCUGCUUUGGUUAAUGGCAUAUGAAGUUGUGUUGUCAAGUAGCUAAUCAUAUUAGCAUUGAGACCCACCACAGCCAACUUUUCACAAAUCUCAUUAGCAAAGAUGAAGGGCAUGGUGACCAAGCCUCCCUUUUUCCUUGCAACAUGGUUGCCUUUCUCCUCCAUCUUUUCCAUCUGCUUUCUCCUUCUCCUUCCUCUGUUAGCCUCAUGUGCAGAACUAAAACAGGUCUACAUAGUGUACUUUGGUGAGCACAGUGGAGAAAAAGCUCAUUCAUUGCGGACAGCGAGGUUGAGGAGAGCGAGGAGAGAGACUUGGUGUGCAUCUGGGUUAGGAGAGCACCAUCAAAGGGACCCGUGCAAACGGGACCUGCUGUGCCUGCAAGGAAACCACCAUGGAAGAAGGAGUUGCAUUUGUUCUCAAGAAGAGCUCUCUGUGGCUUGCCUCAUCUUCACCUGGAUCAUUUUUGGGCAGCUAGACUCGUAGAAGGACCACGAAAGCCCCUUUAACCACAGAAACAAAAGGUUGUGCCUCUGAGACACAAAACAAAGAAGAAACAGAGAGAAGAAACCAGAUUCAGAGAGAAAAAAGUGAAUGAAGCAGAAGAAGAAGCAGCCAUGGCUAUGUUUUCUUUGUGUUUGUUUGGUUGGGUUUCAUCAGAGAAUUCAGCUGGUAUUGUUAAAGCGAAUUCGUGCUGAUAACGUGUUAUAAAACUGGAGAGAAAUUGAUGAGAGAAAAGAGAUGGAGGAAACAGAGGAAAAACAUCUGCAAUUGAUUCAUUAUUUCCGUCUGUCUUUCUAACAUUUAAUAGGAAAAACUUUCUUCCAACAUGUGGGCCCCCUUCCAACAUGUGGGCCCCCUUCCAACAUGUGGGCUCCAGACUUGAUUAUUUACAACAAAAACUAGAUAGUUAAACAAUUUUUUAUGAAUCUUCUGAGCAAUGUUUAUGAUACGAUUGGUUGACCUUGACCUUACUAAACCUAUGCACUAAUUCAGCACUGGUUAUCCUUCUUGCACAUUCCAAGUUGAUCACAACAAGCCUUUAGAAUAAUGAAGUCUGCAGAUCAAUGAAUAAUUCUUAUGAAGUGAUUAAUCUAGCUAGUCAAGUAUGGAUUAUAAGUUAUAUGAGAAGAGCACAUGCAUGUUGGGGCCUUGAAAUUUGGAUAAUUAAUUUAAUUAAAUGGACUAAAGGUUAAUUAAUCAAAGUUUAUUCACCAAGUCUUUGAAAAAAAAGGGUCGCUUGCUUGGGAAGUGAGUGAGAAAUUUAAUAGACUCCACGGAUGAUUUUAUAAAGGGUUUGGAUAGUGCUCAAGGAAUGUGUGGUACAGCAUGUAGAGUGUGGGGGCCCAGAUGCUUGAUCGAAAGAAAAAUAAAAAGAUCCGAGCACGUAUGGUCAAAAUCUAUCUUGUCUUUACCACGAGUCAUUUUCCUUGAGGGGGCGGAGCGUAUACGAAAUGAAGCAGCAGCUAGCACGCUAAGAUCAACCACUUGGAGAAGGUGAAGCCUUUUAAGUGUGGGUGGUGAAGAAAAAUGGUAAGGAUUCUUAAUUUUCCAAUGGACAUGAUCUUCUUGUUCAGCCAAAUUAAUAUUGCGCUCAUAGUGCUUAUGUGCAAUAUGGGACCGAUAUCAUCAAGAGCACAGCCACAGAACAUGACUCUUCCACAUGAUGAGGGUAGGCUGCUGCUGCGGCUGCUGCUUUCUAAAUGUAGUUUUUGUUUUUUGUUUUUAAAUAAAUAAAUUAGAAGGAACAUUUGAUGGGAUUUUUGCUUUAUGCGGGUGUAAUGGCAGUUGAAGCCCUUCGUGAAAUAGCUGCACAACUGCAUAAAAAGGACUGGAAUUUCAGCGACCCGUGUAGCAAUGUUCCAACUUUCUCAACCCCACAUACAGAUCAGUACAACAACACUCUCUUCUGCAAUUGCUCCUUCCCUGGCAAUGUGUGCCAUGUCCAAAGCAUGUAUGCAUAUAUUUUUGCCAUUUGUAUGCUUUAAAUUCUUGCAGCACCGGUUCAUUCAUAAAUUCAUUUUCCUAAUUAAAUAUGAUGGUUGCUGGUUACUGUUUGGAGUGAUUAGUCAAGAAUCAACCUUUGAUUUUUUGGAUCCUUGUUGUGCAGUUUUCUUAUGGGGCAGGAACUGGAUGGUGUGCUUCCACCAGCACUGGUGAAGCUACCUUACAUUAAGCAACUGUAUGAAGAGCAGAGAUUUUCAAUAACUGCUUUAGCUUUUACCAUCUCAAAUCUAUUGGUUUUUAUCCUAAUUAAUAGGACUCUUUCUUCUUUGCUCAUAGUAAUCUGGACCAGAAUUACCUUAGUGGUCCGAUACCAAGCAAAUGGACUUCUACGAAGUUGGAAUUUCUG